UUCUCUUCUCCUCUCCUCUCCUCUCCUCUCCUUUCUCUCUCAGCAUCUUCUACUGUUUUGGUCUUUCAAUAAGGUCUCGUUUCACCUGAAUGUGCUUGGUCCAAGGGUCGUUAUAAUUCGAUAUACUGAGCCAAUGCCAUAUAUAGAAAUGAAGAGCAAGAUAAGCAAGGUUCUUGGUGUCUGUAAGAAACAUAAAGCAACUAUAAGAAAUUCUUCGUCUUUGUCCAAAAUAUCAGAGGACUUGGAAAGCAUGACCACAGCUACUAUUCAUACGAGCCAAGAGGAUGAGAAACAGCAUCCUGGUUUUGAUACUUUUGCCCGGGAUAAUGAAACAAAUGAACCCGCUGAAAUGCUUGUGGAAGACACUUCUCAGUCUCAGGCGGUUGCAUCUUCUGUUGAUGGUUCUGAAUCUGUUGAAAAAAUGGAAAUUGCUUGCAAUUACAUGUCAAACUCAGAUACAAUAUUUUCACCUGUUCUGAAUGAUGAACUGGAUGGAAGUGAUCGAGUAUUUACCGCAGGAAACUCCGUGCACUGGGAAACCCCCAGGUGGGGAGCCGACGAGAGCAGCAACAAGAUUUGCUUCGACAACCAAACAUGCAAUGUUUCUGAUUUCUAUAUUUCUGACGUUCUCAUUGCAAGCUUGCCUUUUGAUGAGAAUGGAAAUGAUGCUUUCACUGAAAUAAGUCCCUUGCCUCAUUACAUCUUUCCUGAGCAGUACAUGGUACUACCUUACUUAGAAGAUGGAUCAGCCAACACAGAUGAUAUUAAGUCAGACGUUGACAAGAUUAAUCUCGAUAACCAUGACUUGUUUCUGGCAUUCAACCGGACGAGAUCCUACAACAUGGAAUCAGAGGAUCAUGCUGACAAUGAACUAGCUGAAGACUUUGAUCCUCAGCUUUUUAUAAAAAAUCAACCGGAAUUAUCGGAUGUUGUAUCCAAUUAUUGGCCUCGGGAUACCUUAAGAAAGAAGUCUGUGACGCUUGUCCUUGAUUUGGAUGAAACUUUGGUCCAUUCCUCUCUGGAAACGUGUAACGCUGCAGAUUUUUCAUUCAGAGUCUUUUUCAACAUGCAAGAAAACACUGUCUAUGUAAAACAAAGGCCACACCUUUACAGGUUCUUGGAGAGGGUGGUAGAAUUGUUUCAUGUCGUCAUCUUCACAGCAAGCCACAGCAUCUAUGCCUCACAACUUCUAGAUAUAUUGGACCCUGAUGGAAAGUUCAUAUCACAGCGUUUAUAUCGCGAUUCAUGCAUUCUUUUGGAUGGAAUUUACACCAAGGAUUUAACUGUUCUGGGUCUUGAUCUGGCCAAAGUGGCAAUAAUUGACAACUGUCCACAGGUGUACAGAUUGCAAAUAAAUAAUGGGAUCCCUAUCAAAAGUUGGUACGAUGAUCCAACUGAUGAUGGUUUGGUUUCUAUACUUCCCUUCUUAGAGACUUUGGCUGUGGCUGAUGAUGUUCGACCUAUCAUUGGCAGGAGAUUUGGUAACAAGGAAUAAGAGCUUCCUUUUCUUUUCUUUUUUGUCUAUAUACAUCGAGUGCAGAUUCUGAUUUCAUUCCUUUCGAAUUAUAGUCAUAAGUUGGCUCUUAAUUAGUUUCUCAUAUCUCUUUUUAGGUUGUUAACUAGGUAACCAAAGAAUAAGCUCGAUGAGUCUAGUGAGAAUAUCAUCCAAUGAAGUAACGAACUUAACUAUAUAUAUACGCUUAAUGGAAUUGACAAGAGUAGGUAAGCUUUAAAUUCAUUUUUACUUGUCCUUUUUUUUGGUCUAACAAGCUUCUUCUGCUUCUGGUUUCUUAUUUCCUUCCUCUCCAACCCUGUAAUUUUACUGAAAGCUGUUUCACAAUCUUGCUACUUAACUCGGUCCAAAAUCUGUUUCAUGUAGAGUGGAAAAAUGUUAUUGUCUUAAUAUCAAACACACUCACAGAUGAUUGUAUAAAAUGUGUAUCUCAGUUUCAGUGAUGCUGUUUUCUCAGCUUCUGAGCUUUGUUUGUUUCUUCC